rnacentral:tRNA from 1 species
GCUGGUUUGGCUCAGUGGAUAGAGCGUCAGCCUGCGGACUGAAAGGUACUGGGUUCGAUUCCAGUCAGGGGCA